rnacentral:rRNA from 1 species
UUGAUCCUGGCUCAGGACGAACGCUGGCGGCGUGCCUAAUACAUGCAAGUCGUACGCUUCUUUUUCCACCGGAGCUUGCUCCACCGGAAAAAGAAGAGUGGCGAACGGGUGAGUAACACGUGGGUAACCUGCCCAUCAGAAGGGGAUAACACUUGGAAACAGGUGCUAAUACCGUAUAACAAUCGAAACCGCAUGGUUUUGAUUUGAAAGGCGCUUUCGGGUGUCGCUGAUGGAUGGACCCGCGGUGCAUUAGCUAGUUGGUGAGGUAACGGCUCACCAAGGCCACGAUGCAUAGCCGACCUGAGAGGGUGAUCGGCCACAUUGGGACUGAGACACGGCCCAAACUCCUACGGGAGGCAGCAGUAGGGAAUCUUCGGCAAUGGACGAAAGUCUGACCGAGCAACGCCGCGUGAGUGAAGAAGGUUUUCGGAUCGUAAAACUCUGUUGUUAGAGAAGAACAAGGAUGAGAGUAACUGUUCAUCCCUUGACGGUAUCUAACCAGAAAGCCACGGCUAACUACGUGCCAGCAGCCGCGGUAAUACGUAGGUGGCAAGCGUUGUCCGGAUUUAUUGGGCGUAAAGCGAGCGCAGGCGGUUUCUUAAGUCUGAUGUGAAAGCCCCCGGCUCAACCGGGGAGGGUCAUUGGAAACUGGGAGACUUGAGUGCAGAAGAGGAGAGUGGAAUUCCAUGUGUAGCGGUGAAAUGCGUAGAGAUAUGGAGGAACACCAGUGGCGAAGGCGGCUUCCUGGUCUGUAACUGACACUGAGGCGCGAAAGCGUGGGGAGCAAACAGGAUUAGAUACCCUGGUAGUCCACGCCGUAAACGAUGAGUGCUAAGUGUUGGAGGGUUUCCGCCCUUCAGUGCUGCAGCUAACGCAUUAAGCACUCCGCCUGGGGAGUACGACCGCAAGGUUGAAACUCAAAGGAAUUGACGGGGGCCCGCACAAGCGGUGGAGCAUGUGGUUUAAUUCGAAGCAACGCGAAGAACCUUACCAGGUCUUGACAUCCCAGUGACCGUCCUAGAGAUAGGAUUUUCCCUUCGGGGACAAUGGAGACAGGUGGUGCAUGGUUGUCGUCAGCUCGU